GGAACACUCCUUCCUGCUGAUACGAAAAUAUUAAUUUCAGUGAAAGCCAGAGGGACAGCUUUUCGUGUGUGGAGAAUGUUGCUUUGUCCUGUGGUGACUACAGUUAUUAUCUGAAAUCCUGUGAUGUUCCUGUUUAUCAAAAUGCCUUCAAGACAAGCAGAGAAAAGGUUUGGAAUUUGUAUAAAUCACAAGGGAAAAAAAAAAAGGCUUGAGGUGGAGUUAUGCUGUACUUAAGGUCAUAUUAAGAAAAGCAGCUGUGGGGUUCAGCUGAGCAGGAGAUCCACAGUGCAAAAUGGUCACCAGGGUGUGAGACACUGUUGACUCUCAGUUCUCCCAGCUGUCUGAGAGAGGUGAGGAGAGCUCCGUUCCCGAUGCCUGGCGAGUGCCACACACAAGGUGGAAUUUGGUGGAUGAGGAAGGGAGAGAGGACGAACAUUCAGUGCUGCAUAGGAUCUUGCAGCACACCUGAGAACUGGACUUUAGGACAGCAGAGAGAUUUUAUGAACAAG
rnacentral:lncRNA from 12 species